ensembl:lncRNA
CUCCCACCUAGUUCUUGGCCUUGGGCACUUGUUGCUGCCAGGCAGAGCCAGGACAGGUGCAUCUAGCUUCGGGCCUUGAAGGUUCAGCAAAAACCCUCCUGGAGGCACUGGUGCUGAGAAGCAACACAAGCACCAAGUUCCCUUCCUGCAGUCUGUGACCUCUACCCCGUGGCUUCCAGCCCUGGAUUCUGCUGACUUCAAAGCCAGACUCCAGAAGGGAAAAAGUGUGGCCAACACUGCCCAGAUGGCCCAUGUUCUCAGAACUGAGAGCUGCAGGAAAGAAAUUUGUGGACACAGGACUGGGCGGAGUCUUGCAGUACUGUCCAGGCUACUCUCAAACUCACGGUCUCCAGGGAGAGAUUUCUGCCUCAGCUUCCUGAAUAGCUGGGACCCCAGGGGUACUCCAUUGUGCCCGACUUACCUAACUUCUAAAAGAACGACAAGUGCUUGGCCGAGGGCAGGCAGGACAUGUGCCUGCUUUAGCUUUUGGCACUGCUUUCUACCCCUCCCUCCUCAGCAGCUCACCCACAGUAUCCCCUCCAACGGAAUGACCUAUCUGCGGCUCGCACAGCCAACAGGAAGCAGUGUUUGCCAGCCUGAAGAACUCAACAAACCAGUUCUUGAAAAUCCCCCACCCUUAGUGUUUAUUUUUAUUAUGUAUUCACUUCUUAGUUCUUUGAGAAAAUCAGCAAGACAAGCAACCCUUAUCCAAACUAACUAAAAGGCAGAGAGAGAAUAUCCAAACUAACAAAAUCAGAAACACAAAGAAGGCCAUAACAACAGACACUGAGGAAAUCCAGAGAAUCAUUAGGUCAUACUUCAAAGACCUGUGCUUCGCAAAAUUGGAAAAUCUAAAUGAAAGGAUAAAUUUCUUGACAGAUACCACUUCUUAAGUAGUUGGCAGAGACACAUUUCUUUCUAUUCUUGAUUCUUCAAUAACAGAACCUGCAUCUCCGUGACGGAGCUGAUGAUGCAUAGUGUCAAACAGGCCAGACAUGCUGUGGACAUUGAUUUUAUUCUUCACCGUAGCUUCCCACCACCUCAAAUCAGCGAAGGUCUCCAGGGCAAGAAGCGAUACCUGCCAGGACAAGGGUCGGCAGCUGGGUAACAUGCAUAACUUUCACCAGACUCCGGCCUUCGUAGAAUCUUCUUCUCAGCUUGAAGGCCCCCAGGCUUUUUAUCAAUCAGCCUUUUAGUCCACCUGGUGUCAGUUAUGUGUGAGUGGCAUGGUGGUACAGGCCGGCACCGUUGGGAAAAGGGUUCAUUCUCAGGAGAUCACCUAGGGAGGAAAGAUUUGACUUCAGUCUCUGGAAUGCUGAACCGACUGACCGCUCAUCCCCACCAUCUGUGUUCUUCGCUCUCAUGAUCCAAUCCUUCCUAUCUCGGAGCGCUGCCCACGUCCCUGGUCGGGAGCCUGGGCAGCCCACAUAAUUUGCUGCUGCUGUCGCAAGCAGAGAAAGUUGUCUGGUUUGCAAGAAGAAGCGAUCGCAGAAACCCAGGAACCUGAAGUCAAAAGCGCGGGCUAUCCUGACACUAGGCGCACAGCAACU